GACGAACGCUGGCGGCGUGCCUAGUCAUGCAAGUCGAACGCUGCUUGCUAGGAUGCUUCGUGUUGUUUUGUAGCAGAGUGGAGGACUGCUGAGUUACGCUAGGUGAAGCUAUCCAUUAACGGGGGAUAACUGUUGCAAACAGGUGAUACUACCGCACAUCGCUUUCUUUCUUCUGAGAGAAAGCUCAAAGGCGCUUUACAGUGUCACUGGUGGCUGGUCCCGCUGUGCAUUAGCCAACUGGUCACGUAACGGAUCACCAAAACACCGAUGCAUAGCCUAACUGACAGGGUGAUCACUCACACUGGGACUGAAACCCUGCCCAAACUCCUACUGGAGGCAACAGUACGGAAUCUUCGGCAAUGAACCCAAGUCUGACCGAGCAACACCACAUGAUUGAAGAAGGUUUUCUCAUCGAAAAGCUCUGAUGACAGCUUAAAAUAGCCAAAAGAGGCAAUGCUUUUUCCAUGACUGUAGCUGACCAGAAAGCCACGGCUAACUACGUGCCAGCAGCCGCGUUAAUACGUAAGUGGCAAGCGUUGUCCGGAUUUAUUGCUCGUAAAGCGAGCGCAAGCUGUGCUUCAAGUCUGAUGUGAAAGCCCCCACCUCAACUGGGGAGGGUCAUUAGAAACUGUAUCACUUGAUUGCAGAAGAGGAGAGUGGAAUUCCAUGUGUAGCGGUGAAAUGCGUAGAUAUAUGGAGGAACACCAGUGGCGAGGGAGGCUCUGUGGUCUGUAACUGACGGUGAGGCUAGAAAGCGUGGGUAGCAACACAGGAUUAGAUACCGUGUGUAGUCCACGCUGUAAACGAUGAGUGAUAAGUGUUGGAGGGUUUCCGCCCUUCAGUGCUGCAGUUAACGCAUUAAGCACUCCGCCUGGGGAGUACGACCGCAAGGUUGAAACUCAAAGGAGUUGACGGGGGCCCGCACAAGCGGUGGAGCAUGUGGUUUAAUUCGAAGCAACGCGAAGAACCUUACCAGGUCUUGACAUCUUUUGACCGCACCAGAGAUGGUGUUUCCCCUUCGGGGGCAAAGUGCCAGGUGGUGCAUGGUUGUGUGUCAGCUCGUGUCGUGAGAUGUUGGGUAUAAGUCCCGUAGCGAGCGCAACCCUUAUUGUUAGUUGCCAGCAUUCAGUUGGGCACUCUAGCAAGACUGCCGGUGUCAAAUCGGAGGAAGGCGGGGAUGACGUCAAAUCAUCAUGCCCCUUAUGUCUUGGGCUUCACACGUGCUACAAUGGGAAGUACAGCGAGCAAGGCAAGCCGCAAGGCGUAGUGAAUCUUUGAAAGCUUUUUUCAGUUGGGAUGGCAGGUUGCAAUUGGCCUGCAGGAAUCGGGGAUCGUUAGUAUUCGAGGAUCAGCAUGCCGCGGUGAAUCCGUUCCCGGGCAU
rnacentral:rRNA from 1 species